AUGUGGAAGAAGAAAUCUAUAUUUUGGGACCUGCCCUAUUGGAAAGACCUAGAGGUCCGCUCUGCAAUCGACGUGAUGCACGUGACAAAGAAUCUUUGCGUGACCCUGCUUGGCUUCUUGGGCGUGUAUGGGAAGACAAAAGAUACACCUGAGGCACGGGAGGACCAGCAACGUAUGCAUGGAAAAGACGGCAUACAUCAGGGUCAUGCCAGCUACGCUCUUACCAAAGAAGAGAAGGAAAUCUUCUUUGAAUGCCUACUCAGUAUUAAGGUACCGUCUAGCUUCUCGUCGAAUAUAAAGGGAAUAAUAAACAUGGCAGAGAAAAAGUUCCAGAACCUAAAGUCUCAUGAAUGCCACGUGAUUAUGACGCAACUGCUUCCGGUUGCAUUGAGGGGGCUUCUACCGGAUAACGUUCGAUUAGCCAUUGUGAAGCUAUGUGCAUUCCUCAAUGCAAUCUCUCAGAAGGUAAUUGAUCCAGAAAUCAUACCAAGGUUAGAGAAUGAUUUGGUGCAAUGUCUUGUCAGUUUCGAGUUGGUGUUCCCACCAUCCUUCUUCAACAUCAUGACGCACGUCCUAGUUCACCUAUGCGAAGAGAUUAACGUUUUGGGUCCUGUAUUUCUACACAAUAUGUUCCCCUUUGAGAGGUUCAUGGGAGUCUUAAAGAAAUAUGUUCAUAACCGUGCUAGGCCAGAAGGAAGCAUCUCCAAGGGCCAUGAAAAUGAGGAGGUCAUUGAGUUUUGUAUUGACCUUAUUCCUGACCCUAAUCCGAUUGGUGUUCCUGAAUCGCGGCAUAAGGGCAGACAGGAUGGAAAAGGCACGCUAGGAGGGAAUCAAAAAAUAUGUAUGGACGGACAUUCUCUCACUGAACCACACUACACAGUUUUACAGAAUUCUGCCUUGGUGGCUCCGUAUAUGGACGAACACAAGAAUUUUCUACGCUCCAAACACCCGGAGCGGUUUGAUGACUGGAUUACACAUGAACAAACCAGGAGUUUCGCCGGCUGGUUGUAG
rnacentral:rRNA from 1 species